ACGAUAGGCUCUAACAUGGACGCCUUCGCCUUGGCGGUGGGCUGCCACGCCACUCCCACCACCCCCUUCCUCUCCCCUCCCCGUCCCCUCUCAAGAAAUCAUAAGCAUUCCCGCCGGAUCCCCGCUCUUUCUAAAACCCUAGAUAAAUCCCAUGCCUCCACCUCUGCCGCUCCCUCCUCCUCUUCUUCUCCGGCCACCAUUACGCCCUCCUUCAAUUCUUCUGCGAGGCGAGCCGCCAUUGCCGAAGUGGAAGCGUCGACCGACUUGGAUUCGGCUCUCUCCAGGGUGGAGGGAAUAUUGCAAGUACAAGAUUAUAACAACAUUUUAUUCUAUUUUGGAGGGUUAAGAAGAUGGACCAAAGUUUCUCAGCUUUUUGAUUGGAUGCAGAAACAUGAGAAGCUUAAUUUUGCAUCAUAUAGCAGUUUUAUCAAAUACAUGGGCAUAAGUCACAACCCGAUGAAAGCUCUACAAGCCUAUGAUAGCAUCCCAGAUAAGUCAUUGAAGGUUAAUGUGUCCAUUUGUAAUUCUCUUCUUGGUUGUUUGGUGAAAAAUGGACGGUUCGAGAGCAGUAACAAGUUGUUUAAUCAGAUGAAAGAUGAUGGUCUAUCGCCAGACUUGGUCACUUAUAGUACUCUUCUGUCAGGUUGCAGUAAAGUGAAGAAUGGCUACUCUAAGGCGAUGCAGUUGGUCCAGGAACUUGAAAAUAAAGGUCUGCGUAUGGAUGGUGUUAUCUAUGGCACUCUUUUAGCCACUUGUGCUUCAAAUAAUUUAUGUGACGAAGCAGAGUCAUAUUUUCAGCAGAUGAAGGAUGAAGGUUGUCCUCCUAAUUUAUUUCAUUACAGCUCCCUACUCAAUGCUUAUUCGGUAGAUGGGAAUUAUAUGAAGGCUGAGAAAUUAGUAAAUGAUAUGAAGUCUUCGGGAUUGGUACCAAAUAAGGUUAUUUUGACUACUUUAUUGAAGGUGUAUGCUAGAGGGGGCCUUUUUGAAAAGUCAAAGGAACUAUUGGCUGAAUUAGAGUUUUUGGGAUAUGCUGAAGAUGAGAUGCCUUACUGUUUGUUGAUGGAUAGUCUUGCUAAGGCUGGACAUAUACAGGAAGCAAAGGCUUUAUUUGCUGAAAUGAAGCAAAAACAUGUGAAAUCUGCUGGAUAUGCCCACAGUAUAAUUAUUUCUGCAUUAUGUCGUAGUGGGUUACUGAAAGAAGGAAGAACACUUGCAAAGGAAUUUGAAGCAAACUACAACAAAUAUGAUUUGGUUAUGCUUAACACCCUGCUCAGGGCUUACUGCAAUGCAGGGGAUAUGGACAGUGUAAUGCAAGUGUUAGGAAAAAUGGAUGAGUUGGCAAUAUCUCCUGAUUGGAACACAUUUCAUAUUCUAAUAAAGUAUUUCUGUAAGGAAAAGCUGUAUCACCUUGCAUAUCGAACUAUUGAGGACAUGCAUGGUAGAGGCCAUCAAAUAAAUGAGGAACUUUGUUCUUCACUAAUUUUACAAUUAGGACAAUCGGGUUUCCCAUCAGAAGCCUUUUCUGUUUAUAAUAUGCUGAGAUACAGUAAAAGAACAUUGUGCAAGUCCAUUCACGAGAAGAUGCUAGACCUCUUAGUUGCAGCAGGGCUUCUAAAAGAUGCUUAUAUAGUAAUGAAGGAUAAUAUGAAGCUGAUAUCCACCAGCUCUUUGGACAAAUUUGCUGUUUCAUUUAUGAGAUCAGGCAAUAUAAAUUUGAUAAAUGAUGUUUUUAAAGCAUUCCACCGUUUUGGACGACAAAUUAAUAUGGACAUAUUCCGUGCAGCUGUUUCACGUUACCUUGGACAACCUGAAAAGAAAGAGCUGGUUUUGCAACUUCUGCAAUGGAUGUCAAGACAUGGCUAUUGUGUGGACUCGUCAUCAAGGAACUUGCUUCUUAAAAACUCGCAUCUCUUUGGUCAAAAGCAGCUCAUAGCAGAAAUCUUAUCCAAACAACAUAUGAUGUCAAGGAAAUUGAGAAGCCAAGAGGUGAAGAAAUGAUAAAAUAACCUCCGAGGAUUCAUCCAUCCACAUGGAUAAAGAUGGCAACUAACCUGUAGCCGGAUUGCUAGUCUGUUUCUGGACUCUGGAACUAUAUUCCCUCACAAAAUUCUCUGGCUGAGGGCAGUGGAUGGCAGAUGGUAUUACUGGAGGUUUUCUGGAUCGGCUAACCUCCCUGUAUUUAGCAUAAAGGAAAAAGAAAGAUGCCAAUUGCUUUUUUUUUUUGUGAUCAGAAGUGGGGGUUUCUUCAUCAGUCUGCAUACCACAAUGUUAUGGAGAAUCAAUCAAGCUUUGAACCAAGCCAUGGACCUCAGUUAAGAGGAUGACAGUGGUUAAGCCACACCAGGCUCAUAGAAGAUACAAACACUCCACUCAGAGACAUUUGGUGACAAAGCAAUCACAUGUGCUUUUGAAAAGCAGAAAGCAUGUAUGGGAUGCUGUCAACAGAAUAGAGUGUUUGAUUCCUUCUCCACCUUUACAAUCACAUUUAUUUAUAUGAGUGCUGCAUUGCUAUCGUCAGUCUAAGCCCAUAUAUCUCCAUUUCUUUUAGAUAAAGCUUUGGUGCUUGCUCUCCGCAGUCCACUAUGCAUUCUCAGAAGAAGGUUGUUGGCUGGAGCAAAGACUGUUAAAGUAGGCCUAUGGGGAGGCCAUGGGGGGAAGUGCUUGGGAUGAUGGCAGCUACAAUGGAGUUCGAGAGAUAACUCUGGUGUAUGAUUGGUGCAUCAACUCAAUUUGGGUCCUGUAUGACAAGAAUGGGAAGCCUGUUCUGUCAGAAAAGCAUGGAGGAAAUGGGGGCAACCUCACAGUCCAGGUAUAUAUAUUCCUGUCAGUUAAAUCUUCUAUUAUAUGAAUCUAAAGUUCAAAAAACUGAUUAAAUAUUCUCUCAUGCCGUAAUUAUCAAAGUUAUAGGUUGUGCUAAAAUUGCAGGAUUAAAACCAGAGAUCCAUUCUCCUGAAUCAUAAUUUAUAUUUUAUGUUUGAAAAUUAUUUUCCAAUGCUUCUCAUCUCUGUAUCAAGUGAAUUACUACUGCUACCGACUAGCAUGUCAGUGCUCUUUACUGCCAGCUUGAUAUGAUCUAAUUCACAAACUAGUAUCCAAGCUGGUUCAAUUUUUAACCAUCUUGUAAAAUAUGUGGAGGACGAUUAAUGGCCUGGUUCUCUGACAGCAUGCUCUUACCAAGGUGUCAGA